GACGAACGCUGGCGGCGUGCUUAAUACAUGCAAGUCGAGCGAACGGACGAGAAGCUUGCUUCUCUGAUGUUAGCGGCGGACGGGUGAGUAACACGUGGAUAACCUACCUAUAAGACUGGGAUAACUUCGGGAAACCGGAGCUAAUACCGGAUAAUAUUUUGAACCGCAUGGUUCAAAAGUGAAAGACGGUCUUGCUGUCACUUAUAGAUGGAUCCGCGCUGCAUUAGCUAGUUGGUAAGGUAACGGCUUACCAAGGCAACGAUGCAUAGCCGACCUGAGAGGGUGAUAGGCCACACUGGAACUGAGACACGGUCCAGACUCCUACGGGAGGCAGCAGUAGGGAAUCUUCCGCAAUGGGCGAAAGCCUGACGGAGCAACGCCGCGUGAGUGAUGAAGGUCUUCGGAUCGUAAAACUCUGUUAUUAGGGAAGAACAUAUGUGUAAGUAACUGUGCACAUCUUGACGGUACCUAAUCAGAAAGCCACGGCUAACUACGUG
rnacentral:rRNA from 1 species